GACAGAGGGUGCAAACGUUGCUCGGAAUCACUGGGCGUAAAGGGCGUGUAGGCGGGCAGAUAAGUCGGGCGUGAAAUCCCCAGGCUCAACCUGGGAACUGCACUCGAAACUGUUUGUCUUGAGUAUCGGAGAGGAAAGCGGAAUACCUGGUGUAGAGGUGAAAUUCGUAGAUAUCAGGAGGAAUACCGAUGGCGAAGGCAGCCCCCUGGGUCGAUACUGACGCUCAUGCACGAAAGCGUGGGGAGCAAACAGG
rnacentral:rRNA from 1 species